AACGUAGGUGACAAACGUUAUCCGGAGUUACUGGGCGUAAAGGGCGUGCAGGUGGUCUGUUAAGUCUGGCGUGAAAGCUCCUGGCUAAACCGGGAGAGGUCGUUGGAUACUGGCGGACUAGAGGACGUGAGAGGCGUUUGGAAUUCCUGGUGUAGCGGUGGAAUGCGCAGAUAUCAGGAGGAACACCCAUAGCGAAGGCAGCUUGCUGGGACGUUACUGACGCUAAGGCGCGAAAGCGUGGGGAGCGAACAGG
rnacentral:rRNA from 1 species